UCUCAGGGCGGGGUGGAAGUCCCCACCGGCGGUAACAUGCCUAGGCAUGAAGCCCGCGAGCGCUUUAUCAUUUGUUAGGGUAAAGGUCAGCAGAUCCAGUGUGAAUCUGGAGCCGACGGUUAUAGUCCGGAUGGGAGAGAAU
rnacentral:ncRNA from 1 species